GCAACGCUGCUGUGUACGUGAUGCGGUUUUGGAGUUUGAGCCAACACUUACCAAUCGGGAGCUGUUUUCUGCUGAGAGCGCGUCCACUCCGUUCGGAGACCGGGCCACUCGAAGAGUAGGCGCCCACCUGCGCAAGCAGGUUCACAACCCUGGUCGCACACGGCACGGCGGCGAUUGC
rnacentral:other from 1 species